AGAGCGAACGCUGGCGGCAGGCCUAACACAUGCAAGUCGAACGCCCAGCAAUGGGAGUGGCAGACGGGAUAGUAACACGUGGGAACGCGCCCUUCGGUUCGGAAUAACUCAGGGAAACUUGAGCUAAUACCGGAUACGCCCUUACGGGGAAAGAUUUAUUGCCGAAGGAACGGCCCGCGUCGGAUUAGCUAGUUGGUGAGGUAAUGGCUCACCAAGGCGACGAUCCGUAGCUGGUCUGAGAGGAUGACCAGCAUCACUGGGACUGAGACACGGCCCAGACUCCUACGGGAGGCAGCAGUGGGGAAUAUUGGACAAUGGGCGCAAGCCUGAUCCAGCCAUGCCGCGUGGAUGAUGAAGGCCCUAGGGUUGUAAAGUCCUUUAACGGGGAAGAUAAUGACGGUACCCGUAGAAUAAGCCCCGGCUAACUUCGCGCCAGCAGCCGC
rnacentral:rRNA from 1 species